rnacentral:rRNA from 1 species
CCUACGGGUAGCAGCAGUCGAGAAUUUUUCUCAAUGGGGGAAACCCUGAAGGAGCGACGCCGCGUGGAGGAUGAAGGCUUUCGGGUUGUAAACUCCUGUCAUUUGAGAACUAGUAUCAGAAGAGGAAGGGACGGCUAACUCUGUGCCAGCAGCCGCGGUAAUACAGAGGUCCCAAGCGUUGUUCGGAUUCAUUGGGCGUAAAGGGUGCGUAGGUGGCGCCGUAAGUGGGGUGUGAAAUUUCGGAGCUUAACUCCGAAACUGCAUUCCAUACUGCGGUGCUUGAGGACUGGAGAGGAGACUGGAAUUCAUGGUGUAGCAGUGAAAUGCGUAGAGAUCAUGAGGAAGACCAGUGGCGAAGGCGGGUCUCUGGACAGUCCUGACACUGAGGCACGAAGGCUAGGGGAGCGAACGGGAUUAGAUACCCCAGUAGUC